CUUGGUCAUUUAGAGGAAGUAAAAGUCGUAACAAGGUCUCCGUUGGUGAACCAGCGGAGGGAUCAUUACAGAGUUGCAAAACUCCCAACCCUUUGUGAACGAACCUACCAGUUGCCUCGGCGGCGAGCCUUUCAGGCGGACCGCCGAAGGAAUACAAACUCUUUGCAUUAUAGUAUCUCUGAUUACUUAUUCAAUAAGUUAAAACUUUCAACAACGGAUCUCUUGGUUCUGGCAUCGAUGAAGAACGCAGCGAAAUGCGAUAAGUAAUGUGAAUUGCAGAAUUCAGUGAAUCAUCGAAUCUUUGAACGCACAUUGCGCUCCUUGGUAUUCCGGGGAGCAUGCCUGUUUGAGAAUCAGUAAAUUCUUCGAACCACUUGGUGUUUGAACGAACCUCCUUGUGGGGUUCUGACGGCAUCGACGGGUUCGAGAUAUGGGCAUUUUUGCGCCUGGCGCAAUGGCCUGAAAUUCAAUGUCGUGGAAUCAUUGGACGCCCGUCCGGUUUCAAGCGCAUGAAGGGAAUUCAAUUUCUUUGAUUACGUCUUGGAUGAUCGGUUUGGGAUAGCUGCUUCUGAUUUCGGGACUCAACAGAUUAUAAGCGUGGGCGGCCACCUUUGGCUGGCUGCCCUCGAACACUUGGUCUCAAAUCAGGUAGGAAAACCCGCUGAACUUAAGCAUAUCAAUAAGCGGAGGA
rnacentral:rRNA from 1 species